ACGUUCGGAGGAAGCGCAUCUGAGCUGUACUGCAGGUAUCCAAACACCGGGCCUGGAUGUCAGAGAGCGGCUAAUCUAUAAGGCAGAUACGGGUUUGCCGUUCAUUAUCCCGGCCCAGUGUUAAGGACUGCAUCAUUACCGGCGCUGAGUGUCCCCUCGUUGGCUGUAUGCCACGCGGUAAUUAUGACUGUAAAUCAGCCUUCGCUGUGUUCUUUUUGCGGAGAUUUGUUUGUUUUAGUCUGGGAGGCUUGCCUCACAAGCAGAACGCAGCGAAUGAAACCCAGGUCCCAUUUUCGCUCAGUUUCAGUUAGUGCCACUGAAGAACGGGUCACCGAAACAAACAUCCCUCAGAUCUGACCCAAAUGUAAUAAAACAGUUUGGCAUGAGCUAAUUCUUUUCCUCAACAGUGACAUGUAGACACCCUAACCUGCAACUUAGCUUCUUAUCUUCACCACUCUGUCAGUCACUGGAUGCUAAUACCCUCUAAUUAGAGCGAGCCUGCCUUCUUGGCUGUGCGUACAGUACAGUGCGCAUGGUAGCACAGUGGAGGUUGCUGCAGUGAGGCCCUCUUUGUUAACUGCCGGCUCCGGCCCGGCAAAUAAAUCUUGAUGGAUACUUGAAUGGUGGCCAACAGAAUUUAUUAGUCCAAAGUGAGAUAAGAAUGCAGUUGUGCUAAUCCCUUUAAUUGUUUAUGAUAUAUUCUCUUUCCCCUCAGAGAAAACUGUUGGAAAUGGAGAUAUCAUCUCAAGCACCAUUAGAUGGUGAUGAAUAGUCGUUAAAAUGGGAGCUCUGUCGUUCUUUGCCCCCCUCCAACCCCCCUGUCUGUGCGAGCCGUCCCUAAAUCUGGUGUCAUAGAGCCAGCUCUGUAGCUAUAUGCUCUUAAUCCACAAGCCUUUCAGAGACCUGAUUAAGGCUUGGGUAUUGGGGAGUUUAGAUGAGUACACAAAUGACCCCUGUGGUUUGUGUGUGCGUGUGUCUACACACACACAGACAGACACACACACACGCAUUUAUAUAUACUGUAUAUAGUCAUCAUGUCCAUUCUGAACACAGAAAGGAGGAAGGGAGGCAGUGUCAUGCUAUGUAUCAAUGGGACUGUAGCUCAUACAUGUGCGUCAGAUGCAUUGUUCUUCUGUAUUUCAUUUUAGCAUUUCCUUGAGGUGAGCACUGAUGAUGAUGUGCCAUGGCUGCCGCUGACCUGUCUUUGGGGUUCAGCACCAGGGCAGAACUGCAGUGCAGUGAGGUGAUUUGAGCACAGAACAGAGAUGGUUAUUAUGGUGGUGCUGUCCCCCAUUGGGACUACAGGUGCCCAGAGACGGCUCCAUUUCCUCUCUACUUAUCAGCUGAAUGAAAACACCAUUUCAGACUUCAUUUAAGAUCCACCACAACAGCGAGAGUUUGUCUCUGGAGAGAGGAAGACAAAGCGCUUUCCAUCUUGAAAUUGAAAAGCAAGGUUGGAUGCUGUACCCAGCUCAUUUAUCCAUUAGGAAAUUUAAUUAAGUCUUCGGCACAACAAGGGACUUUAAAAAUACUUGUCAGUUUAUAUACAUGUUCAUUUUGGUUAUUGUUUUCUACCAUGGGGACAGUAGAAAUACCCUAAAAGGGCAGUUGCAAAGCAAGAGUAAUAUUUCUGUUGGAUUUCUUGUAAUUGCCUAUCACUAGAGUACAGGUUGCAUGGGCCGUCCUGAAUGUGCAAAUUGCUAACAAUUCAAAAAAAUUUCCAUUUAAAUACUGAAAAUAGAUUAACUAAAUGGUUUAAUGACGAAAACGAUACAUAUCCACAGGGCUACAAUUGUUUUAUUUU